UACGUAGGUGGCAAGCGUUGUCCGGAUUUAUUGGGUUUAAAGGGUGCGUAGGCGGCCCUGUAAGUCAGUGGUGAAAUAUCGCAGCUUAACUGUGAGGGUGCCAUUGAUACUGCAGGGCUUGAGUAAAGUCGAGGUAGGCGGAAUUGACGGUGUAGCGGUGAAAUGCUUAGAUAUCGUCAAGAACACCGAUAGUGAAGACAGCUUACUAGGCUUUAACUGACGCUGAGGCACGAAAGUGUGGGGAUCAAACAGG
rnacentral:rRNA from 1 species